CGGUCGCUUCCGAACUCGCUGCACUGGAGGACGCAAGGUUCGGUCCUGCCUGAUUUCGUUGCGUGCGGAGACCGCCGUCGCGGCUCAGAACCGGAGCGUGGGCUAGUCUGAACACUACCCUGACUCUCACCUGGGCUUUGGCCCUGCGAAAUCAGACGGGGAGAGUGCUGCUUCUAUCGAUGGCAGCAGGGCCGACGGGCCCACCGCAAAGAACACAGGGAUGAGCGUCAAGGAUGGGAGAAGGGGAGAUCCAGAGAACCUGACGCGGGCCCUAAUUGAUAGUGUUCUUUUCUUUAGUAGCUGUAGCUAGGAUUCUGUGUCUUCGGUGCCAGAGGGGCCCGCUUCCCUUCCCUGAACUCUUCCAGCGUCGGGAAGUCCCUGAUACCAGGCGCCAGGGGUCCAAAUGUUUUAUGCCAAUACUGUAAAACCUCAAGUGUUUGGACACCUGCUUUAUUCUUUUCUUCACCGAAAUCGUGUAUUUCACGAAUUCAUUCAAAAACCUUUAUCAGGCCUUGGAGAUGUUAAAAGAAUUUACAGCCUAGUGGAAGACACAGAUUCCUAAUUAGUCCAAAUUUACUCCUAACACCUGCAAUCAUCCUACAAGAUCUUAAUGUUUAUGUGCCUCAUUUAUCUAAAACCCUGAACUUUGGCUGCCUGUGAAUCCUCAGGUCCAUUUCAGCAACCCACUUUUGCAUGCUGUACCUUUGAUAUCAUCUGAAACUGCUUACAUUGUCUCCGGUAUCAGAAUCUAACAGUAUAUGCUGAUCUCCACGUUCUAGCAAAUUUUGUUUACCAGCAAUAAUAGGAGCAACCUGCUCUCGAGAGUCCAUAUUCUGAUCCCUAAAUGUAUUAGAGCCACAGUGGGGCCUGGAACACUGCCUUAACACCUGGGCUAAGUCCUCUUAUAUCUCGUAGUGAACACCUUAUGUAUGUAAGGUGUCCCCAGCCCCCGGGCCACAAACGGGUACCAGCCCAUGGCCUGUUAGGAACCGGGCUACACAGCAAGAAGUGAAUCUCUGGCAAGCCAGGGAAGCUUAAUCUGUAUUUACAGCUGCUCCCCAUGGUUCACAUUAUCGUCUGAGCUCCACCUCCUGUCAGAUCAGCUGUGGCAUGAGAUUCUCAUAGGAGCUGGAACUACUGUGAACUAGGCAUGAGAGGGAUCUAGGUUAUGCUCCUUAUGAGAAUCUAAUGCCUGAUGAUCUGUCACUGUCUCCCAUCACCCCCAGAUGGGACCAUCUAGUUGCAGGAAAAUAAGCUCAGGGCUCCCACCGAUUCUACAUUAUGGUGAGUUGUGUAAUUGUUUCAUUAUAUAUUACAAUGCAAUAAUAAUAGAAAUAAAGGGCACAAUAAAUAUAAUGCACUUGAAUCGUCCAAAACCAUCCUUCCCCAUCCACCUAGCCCCCACCCCCAGGAAAAAAUUGUCUUCCAUGAAACAGGUCCCUGGCACCCAAAAGAUUGGGGACCACUGCCUUAUAUAGUUACUGAGAGUUUUUUCUGGGCUUUUUUGUUUUGUUUUGUUUUGUUUUUCAGGAGUACUUAACUCUCAGCCGGGUACAGUGGCUCAUAUCUGUAAUCCCAGCACUUUAGGAGGCCGAGGCGGACAGAUCAUUUGAGGUCAGGAGUUCGAGACCAGCCUGGCCAUCGUGGUGAAACCCGGUCUCCACUAAAAAUACAAAAAUUAGCUGGGUCUGGUGGUACAUGCCUGUAAUCCAAGCUAAUCGGGAGAUUGAGGCAGGAGAAUUGCUUGAACCCAGGAGGCGGAGGCUGCAGUGAGCUGAGGUCGUGCCACUACCCUCCAACCUGGGAGACAGAGUGAGACUCCAUCUCAAAAUAAAAAUAAAAAGAGUACUUAACUCUCAACUGACGGAAGUUCAAUAGGCCUUCAACUGCUUUCAGCUCCAGAUGCCCAAUAUACAUCUUCCCCCCAAUUUUCACAAUUUUGCAUCAAAGUUUGUCAAUUUUAUAUGUAUACAUAUAUAUGCAUAUAUCUGUGUUUGUACAUAUAUGUGGGCCCUAUCAAAGCCAACUAUUCUAAAUAAUAAAUAAAAAGGAUCCAAGAUAUCACUUAGAGAAAGACAUCAGAAGAGUGCUAAUUAUGUGAAAAGGGAUAGCUUUGCCAGGACACAAAAAAGGAGACAGGGUUGAAACCCUUCAUCACAUGUAACACAAUGUUGUUAAAACAUUAAACCUCCUCACAGCCACAUUCUGCUUCAGGUCUCUGCAAAUUAACAUUCUUUCAGUCGGAAAGAGCAGUCUUUCUGACUGCUCUUAAACCUAGAAAUUACUCAAUUCUUCAGCUCCUCUGGGUGGCACAAAUUUGGAUGCAAAUCACCUUUUGUAGUCUCAGGCUUUGGCCCACUUCUCAGAAUUCUGCACCAAUCCAGCUGAAGCACACGGCCUGCCCCCGUUUUCUGUUAGUAAUUUGAACUCAUUUCCUA
rnacentral:lncRNA from 1 species